rnacentral:rRNA from 1 species
AGUGAACGCUGGCGGCGUGCUUAACACAUGCAAGUCGAACGAGAACGGGUUAUAGCUUGCUAUAAUUGUCAGCUAAGUGGCGCACGGGUGAGUAAUGUAUAGGUAAUAUGCCUCUUACUAAGGGAUAACAAAUGGAAACGUUUGCUAAUACCUUAUACUCCUUAUUAACAGAAGUUAAUAAGGGAAAGAUUUAUUGGUAAGAGAUUAGCCUGUAUUGUAUCAGUUAGUUGGUGAGGUAAUGGCUUACCAAGACUAUGACACAUAACUGGUUUGAGAGGAUGAUCAGUCACACUGGAACUGAGACACGGUCCAGACUCCUAAGGGAGGCAGCAGUGGGGAAUAUUGCACAAUGGACGAAAGUCUGAUGCAGCAACGCCGCGUGGAGGAUGACACAUUUCGGUGCGUAAACUCCUUUUAUAUGAGAAGAUAAUGACGGUAUUAUAUGAAUAAGCACCGGCUAACUCCGUGCCAGCAGCCGCCGUAAGAC